UGCAAGUCGAACGGUAACAGAGAGUAGCUUGCUACUUUGCUGACGAGUGGCGGACGGGUGAGUAAUGUCUGGGGAUCUGCCUGAUGGAGGGGGAUAACUACUGGAAACGGUAGCUAAUACCGCAUAAUGUCGCAAGACCAAAGCGGGGGACUUUCGGGCCUCGCACCAUCAGAUGAACCCAGAUGGGAUUAGCUAGUAGGUAGGGUAAUGGCUUACCUAGGCGACGAUCCCUAGCUGGUCUGAGAGGAUGACCAGCCACACUGGAACUGAGACACGGUCCAGACUCCUACGGGAGGCAGCAGUGGGGAAUAUUGCACAAUGGGCGCAAGCCUGAUCCAGCCAUGCCGCGUGUGUGAAGAAGGCCUUAUGGUUGUAAAGCACUUUAAGCGAGGAGGAGGCUUACCUAGUUAAUACCUAGGAUAAGUGGACGUUACUCGCAGAAUAAGCACCGGCUAACUCUGUGCCAGCAGCCGCGGUAAUACAGAGGGUGCAAGCGUUAAUCGGAAUUACUGGGCGUAAAGCGCGCGUAGGUGGCCAUUUAAGUCAAAUGUGAAAU
rnacentral:rRNA from 1 species